rnacentral:rRNA from 1 species
UACAUGGGGUGCAAACGUUGCUCGGAAUUAUUGGGCGUAAAGCGCACGUAGGCGGUUUGUUAAGUCGGAUGUGAAAUCCCUCGGCUCAACUGAGGAAGUGCAUCCGAAACUGGCAGGCUUGAGUACUAAAGAGGGUCGCGGAAUUCCCGGUGUAGAGGUGAAAUUCGUAGAUAUCGGGAGGAACACCGGUGGCGAAGGCGGCGACCUGGGUAGAUACGUGACGCUGAGGUGCGAAAGCGUGGGGAGCAAACA